UCGACCAGCAGUACUGGACGAAGAAUAGCUAACUACUUCUCAUGGCACGUAUCAUGAACCACACACGGACCCUGUGGUUCCUAGCUCUUGUGGUGAUGUCUACUUUCUUGUCAUGCCAUGCAGCAGGGCCGAACAUAGGUACAACAGGCAAAUUAUGUGUUGCUGCGGAAGGUUGUGCGCCCCCGGUAGAACUUAAUGGCAACCUUUUGUGUAGGGCUUACUGCGUUAGCCGAGGUUAUGACAAGGAUAAAAGCGCUUGCUUACCAGACAAUAGUUCCACCUGCUGCUGCGCGAAGUGAGAAAUGCAUGCAAUCAAAAUUAUUUAUGCGAUGUAUCAUGCUAGAAAUAUCGUGUGUGGAGGUGACUGAAUAAUUUGUCUGUGCGAACCUCGAUUCAGCUCAUACAAAAGAGCCAAUAAAAUAUAUGUAAUUUUUAAUUUA